rnacentral:lncRNA from 1 species
CUGCAUCGACAAAAAAUGCUGCAUCUACAUUGCACUUUAACCAUCCUAUACGAGGCUUUUCCCACCGAAUGGUGCUAACAAGCGGAACAACAUGAUCAUCGUUACCUCGCAACUUAUGGACGGCAAUCCACUCGUUCCACUGAUCAAACGCAGCCCGGCCUAUUUGGUUUGGGCUUCUAACAUUAUCGUUCCAAAUUUUAUCAUUCCGGUUAUGCCAUAUACUCCAUAACAGCAUAGCCACUCUACCUAUAGUAGCGUAAUCCUCAUUCCGACACAAGGCAAACACUCUAUCUGCCGCACUACCUUGCUGACAAGCUGUGGAACCCAAGACAGAUGACAGUCCAGCUGCUUGCCA